UGGGGAAUCUUCCGCAAUGGACGAAAGUCUGACGGAGCAACGCCGCGUGAGUGAUGACGGUCUUCGGAUUGUAAAGCUCUGUUAAUCGGGACGAAUGGUUUGUGUGCAAAUAGUGCAUAGACAUGACGGUACCGGAAUAGAAAGCCACGGCUAACUACGUGCCAGCAGCCGCGGUAAUACGUAGGUCCCGAGCGUUGUCCGGAUUUAUUGGGCGUAAAGCGAGCGCAGGCGGUUAGAAAAGUCUGAAGUGAAAGGCAGUGGCUCAACCAUUGUAGGAUUUGGAAACUGUUUAACUUGAGUGCAGAAGGGGAGAGUGGAAUUCCAUGUGUAGCGGUGAAAUGCGUAGAUAUAUGGAGGAACACCGGUGGCGAAAGCGGCUCUCUGGUCUGUAACUGACGCUGAGGCUCGAAAGCGUGGGGAGCGAACAGG
rnacentral:rRNA from 1 species